rnacentral:rRNA from 1 species
AAGCACGUAGGUGGGUUUGUAAGUCAGACGUGAAAGCCUUCUGUUCAACGGAAGAAUUGCAUCUGAAACUACAAACCUUGAGUGUAGGAGGGGAGAAUGGAACUUCUGGUGGAGCGGUGAAAUGCGUAGAUAUCAGAAGGAACGCCGGCGGCGAAAGCGAUUCUCUGGCCUAUUACUGACACUUAGUGUGCGAAAGCUAGGGGAGCAAACGGGAUUAGAUACCCCGGUAGUCCUAGCCGUAAACGAUGGGCACUAAGUAGAGGGGUUUU